rnacentral:rRNA from 1 species
GAUGAACGCUGGCGGCGUGCUUAACACAUGCAAGUCGAACGGUGAAGCUCCAGCUUGCUGGAGUGGAUCAGUGGCGAACGGGUGAGUAACACGUGAGCAACCUGCCCCUGACUCUGGGAUAACAGCCGGAAACGGCUGCUAAUACCGGAUAUGCACCAUGAACGCAUGUUCUGUGGUGGGAAAGAUUUUUCGGUUGGGGAUGGGCUCGCGGCCUAUCAGCUUGUUGGUGAGGUAAUGGCUCACCAAGGCGUCGACGGGUAGCCGGCCUGAGAGGGUGACCGGCCACACUGGGACUGAGACACGGCCAAGACGCCUACGGGAGGCAGCAGUAGGGAAUCUUCCGCAAUGGGCGAAAGCCUGACGGAGCAACGCCGCGUGAGUGAUGAAGGUCUUCGGAUCGUAAAACUCUGUUAUUAGGGAAGAACAUAUGUGUAAGUAACUGUGCACAUCUUGACGGUACCUAAUCAGAAAGCCACGGCUAACUACGUG